UUUUUUUUUUUUUUUUCUCUGUGAAGUUGAAUUGGAACUGGAAGCCUAGAGGAAGCUAGAGUUGUAUAGUUUCCCUUCAGCUGCUUAGGGACAUCAGGUGAUAUUUUUUGGUACAUACGGUGAGAACCAAGUGGGAUUCCUAGAAGUAAAGCCUGUAAGUGUGUAGGGGCUCCUCUAAGACUGCAGCUCCCAGGAGGCUCCAAUGCUCACUCUGCUUCAUAUUCAGCCUGUUGCCAAAUUCCUGCUUAGGUGUUCCUGCCAGUUUGCGGUUCCACUGACAUCUGCAGCAUAUGCUGAAAUACUACGAGAUAAAGAUUUUAGGUUUCAAUUGUAAAGAGAGAGAAGUGGAUAAAUCAGUGCUGCUUUCUUUCGGA